rnacentral:misc_RNA from 1 species
CCAUUCCAUUGCCUCAGAUUCCCAACUCUUGCUCUGUCAAAAUCCAACUUUGGAAGUUUAAUAUUUGAAGCUCCUAAGCCGCAGGAAGCCAUAGGAACCUCUGAAGCGUUGGAGACCAGGGAAUCCAGAAAAGUAAUGAAGAGUCCAAAAUAAACAAAACCCAGUUCAAAUCCAAUCUAAAAUAUCCACAAGGCACAAAGACUCUGCUUAUGGGUGCGUGCGUGUCUGCACUAUAAGUGAGGAGAAGUUAGUAUGUGGCUAUUGCGUCUCCUCAAACAUUAGAAUUGUGCAUUUUAGCCCAUAUAAGAACAGGAAAGAGCAGACAGAUAGACACAGAGUAAGCGUCGUAAACCCCCCAAAGACGACAGAAGAGAGGGAGCCACCGACGCCAAAAC